UAGCCUAGUGGUUAAGGCUAUGGAUCACCAAUCCGCAGACGGCGGGUUCGACUCCCGU
rfam:Aedes albopictus isolate Foshan contig80745, whole genome shotgun sequence.